rnacentral:rRNA from 1 species
GACGAACGCUGGCGGCAGGCCUAACACAUGCAAGUCGAGCGAGCGGCGGACGGGUGAGUAAUGUCUGGGAAACUGCCUGAUGGAGGGGGAUAACUACUGGAAACGGUAGCUAAUACCGCAUACCAUCAGAUGUGCCCAGAUGGGAUUAGCUGGUAGGUGGGGUAACGGCUAACCUAGGCGACGAUCCCUAGCGGGUCUGAGAGGAUGACCAGCCACACUGGAACUGAGACACGGUCCAGACUCCUACGGGAGGCAGCAGGGGGGAAUAGUGCACAAUGGGCGCAGGCCUGAUGCAUCCAUGCCGCGUGUGUGAAGAAGGCUUUCGGGUUGUAAAGCACUUUCAUCGGGGAGGCGUUACCCGCAGAAGAAGCACCGGCUAACUCCGUGCCAGCCGCCGCGGUAAUAC